AUUGAACGCUGGCGGCAUGCCUUACGACAUGCAAGUCGAACGGCAGCACGGGUGCUUGCACCUGGUGGCGAGUGGCGAACGGGUGAGUAAUAUAUCGGAACGUACCUUAUCGUGGGGGAUAACGCAGCGAAAGCUGCGCUAAUACCGCAUACGCCCUGAGGGGGAAAGCGGGGGACCGUAAGGCCUCGCGCGAUUAGAGCGGCCGAUAUCUGAUUAGCUUGUUGGUGGGGUAAAAGCCCACCAAGGCGACGAUCAGUAGCUGGUCUGAGAGGACGAUCAGCCACACUGGGACUGAGACACGGCCCAGACUCCUACGGGAGGCAGCAGUGGGGGAAUUUUGGACAAUGGGGGCAACCCUGAUCCAGCAAUGCCGCGUGAGUGAAGAAGGCCUUCGGGUUGUAAAGCUCUUUUGUCAGGGAAGAAACAGCAGCUCUAACACAGUCUGCGAAUGACGGUACCUGAAGAAUAAGCACCGGCUAACUACGUG
rnacentral:rRNA from 1 species